UACGGGGGGAGCAAGCGUUGUUCGGAUUUACUGGGCGUAAAGGGCGCGUAGGCGGUCAGCACAAGUCAGUUGUGAAAUCUCCGGGCUUAACCCGGAAAGGUCAACUGAUACUGUGCGGCUAGAGUGCGGAAGGGGCAACUGGAAUUCUUGGUGUAGCGGUGAAAUGCGUAGAUAUCAAGAGGAACACCUGCGGCGAAGGCGGGUUGCUGGGCCGACACUGACGCUGAGGCGCGAAAGCCAGGGGAGCGAACGGG
rnacentral:rRNA from 1 species